AGACAGUUAAUUAGGCUGUUACAACAUGACUGGAGUCACAGAAGGUUAAGAAGCUUCUCAAAGUGCGUCACCACUUCAUUAACAACAUCCCCAUGCUGAGGAAUAAUUCCCACUGUGUUCAGCUCUGAAGUCAGUGAUGGUGAAGUUCUGUCCUGAUGCUUUUGCAGAGGGACUCACUGACACAGAGGGAAGCUUUGGACCAUCUGGAGGACAAGAUUUAACAAAGAUUAGCAGCAGAUUUUAAGAAUGUAUUCAUCCACACAAAGACCAUUUUCAAGUCAUUAAACCCUAAAAGAUUUA